GACUACAAAAAUACGUUUUUUGGCCCUAUCCGUCUUCCGUAUAAUCCACCUACAUCAAUGCGCAUUUAUUUUUCUACUGAACCUCAGAAUUCGAAUUUCGUAUGUAAAAUGCUCUAAAACCGUUGCAGUUACCCCUGACACUUGUAAGCUCACAUUCAGUAGGCUUUCUAUUAAUUUCCGUUGCUCACUGCAGCAAGGUUUCCUAAACGAUCAAAUAAUAGGAACGACCCCUAUUUAAAAACAUUGAUAACUGGAGAAAAGGCUUAGCACACAUAGGACAAGCCACCAGGGUGCUGCUAUGCUUGAGCAGACUAGGAAAGCAAAUGAGAAUCAACCAGGGGUGUGAGACCGAUGUUCUGGCAGUAGAUCCUUUGUGACUGAGAGGCACAGACGCUCGAGGAGUUUGAAGAGAGGGAGUUCUAGAUUGCGUUGUCCUAAGUGGCUCAGUGAUUUUGGUCACUGGGUAAGGGACAGUGACUUUGGGCGCUGGGUAGGGUCACUCUCCCCAACCCGGAAAGCGAUGUUGCUGCUGGAAGCGGCACUGUGGCUCCUCCUAUUGGGUCUGCUGUCUCAGCUCAACCUGGGGCUGCCCUGCCUCCUGCUGUCUCUCUCCUACUGGCUCUAUAAUGGGCCUUUCCACAUGGCAGCCAGGAGGGUCUUGCGUGGGCUUCACAAUAGGUUACAUUUUUUAUAGAGUUGCGUUUUGUGUCAAGACAUAAUUGAUGUGCAUACAUUCUCACAUCAGUAAUAUUGUUACCGACACUUCUUAAUUCUAUUUGUGCAAAUUAUUAAGAAGAUGCU